rnacentral:rRNA from 1 species
CUCGGAGUUUGAUCCUGGCUCAGGAUGAACGCUAGCGGCAGGCUUAACACAUGCAAGUCGAGGGGUAUAGUUCGUUCGGAGCUAGAGACCGGCGCGACGGGUGCGUAACGCGUAUGCAAUCUACCUUUUACGAGAGGGAUAGCCCAGAGAAAUUUGGAUUAAUACCUCAUAGUAUGUGAGAAUCGCAUGGUUUUCACAUUAAAGUUCCAACGGUAAAACGAUGAGCAUGCGUCCCAUUA